rnacentral:rRNA from 1 species
UACGUAGGGGGCAAGCGUUGUCCGGAUUUAUUGGGCGUAAAGGGCUCGUAGGCGGUUUGUCGCGUCGGGAGUGAAAUCCACUGGCUUAACUGGUGGCUUGCUUUCGAUACGGGCAGACUGGAGGUAUGCAGGGGAGAACGGAAUUCCUGGUGUAGCGGUGAAAUGCGCAGAUAUCAGGAGGAACACCGGUGGCGAAGGCG